rnacentral:rRNA from 1 species
AGAGUUUGAUCAUGGCUCAGAACGAACGCUGGCGGCAUGCCUAACACAUGCAAGUCGAACGGGAUCCUGGCUUCGGUCAGGUGAGAGUGGCGGACGGGUGAGUAACGCGUGGGAACCUGCCCAGUGGUGGGGGAUAACUGCGGGAAACUGCAGCUAAUACCGCAUGAGCCCGAGAGGGGAGAGAUUUAUCGCCAUUGGAGGGGCCCGCGUUCGAUUAGGUAGUUGGUGAGGUAACGGCUCACCAAGCCGACGAUCGAUAGCUGGUCUGAGAGGAUGAUCAGCCACACUGGGACUGAGAUACGGCCCAGACUCCUACGGGAGGCAGCAGUGGGGAAUAUUGGACAAUGGGGGCAACCCUGAUCCAGCAAUGCCGCGUGAGUGAUGAAGGCCUUCGGGUUGUAAAGCUCUUUUGGCGGGGACGAUGAUGACGGUACCCGCAGAAUAAGCCCCGGCUAACUUCGUGCCAGCAGCCGCGGUAAUACGAAGGGGGCAAGCGUUGUUCGGAAUUACUGGGCGUAAAGGGCGCGUAGGCGGUCUAUCAAGUCAGGCGUGAAAUUCCCGGGCUCAACCUGGGGGCUGCGCUUGAUACUGAUGGACUUGAAUGCGGGAGAGGAUAGUGGAAUUCCCAGUGUAGAGGUGAAAUUCGUAGAUAUUGGGAAGAACACCAGUGGCGAAGGCGGCUAUCUGGCCCGUGAUUGAC